CAAUUUUCCUCUCACGUAAAUUCAGUUUAACCCACUCAUUCAUUUCAAUCAUUUCAACCCGAAAAAAAUACCCAAGUGAGUUUUGUCCAGUUUGAGGACAAAUUCGUCUUUUGCAGGCGGCGCCAUUCUCUUUCAACUGUUCAACACCAGCUCUACAGUUUACAACUCAACUAAACCAAGAAAAAUGGGGAACAAGAAGAGGAAACGAGGUGGUGGUGGUGGUGGUGGUCGAAGCAUACAUCCUCGUAAUAAAUACGCUGAUAAUCCCCCUGAUUUCUCUCUCCUCGCUUCUCUUUACCCUUCUUUUUCUCCUUUCGUAUCUUACUCUCCUGACAAUCAUCGACCCCGAAUCGAUUGGACUGAUUUUAAUGCCACUCGUGAACUUACUCGUGUGCUCCUCCUCCAUGACCACUCUCUCAACUGGUGGAUUCCUGAUGGGCAAUUGUGCCCAACUGUGCCCAAUAGGUCAAAUUACAUACAUUGGAUUGAGGAUCUCUUAGCUUCUGACAUUAUUGAGAAUAAUAAUGUUGGUAGAGAUAAAGUAAGAGGCUUUGAUAUUGGAACUGGAGCAAAUUGUAUUUAUCCUCUUCUUGGUGCAUCUCUGUUAGGCUGGAGUUUUGUUGGGUCAGAUGUAACUGAUGUAGCCUUGGAGUGGGCAGAGAAAAAUGUUAAAAGUAAUCCCCAUGUUUCGGAAUUGAUUGAGAUUAGAAGGGUUGAGGUUGCUGAACCUGCGCAUGGCCGUGGUAUCAUACAUUUAGAUGGUAAUAAGACCAAUGAUAAUAACCAAAAGAAGGAAGAUCUUGAUGUUCUGACCAAACACAAUACUGAGGGUGGAUUGGAUAAUGCACGUUCAGUUGAUAGUGGAGAAGUGGAAGAUUCUAUUGAAAGAAGGGAUGGUGAAGCACAAAUUGGAUCCUCAAGUCCUCGUAGUGAAGCUAAUGUCGAUAAGUGUUAUCAUGGGCCGUCUAUCCUUCUUGGCGUGGUUAAAGAAGGUGAAAAGUUUGAUUUCUGUAUGUGCAACCCUCCAUUUUUUGAAAGCAUGGAGGAAGCAGGAUUGAAUCCGAAAACUUCAUGUGGUGGUACAUCAGAAGAGAUGGCCUGCCAUGGUGGAGAGAAGGCUUUUGUCAGUCGCAUUAUUGAAGAUAGUGUCACACUAAAGCAGUCAUUUCGGUGGUACACUUCAAUGGUUGGGAAAAAGUCAAGCCUUAAGUCGCUGAUGUCAAAACUUCGGGAAGUGGGGGUCACAAUUGUGAAAACUACUGAAUUUGUGCAGGGUCAAACUUCUCGAUGGGGACUUGCCUGGUCCUUCAUGCCACCAACCAGAAAACCAUUAUCCUCUCAUGUGAGGGGUAAUAGUAACCCAUCCUUCAUGCUUGAGGGUCUCGACCGUCAAACUAGUGCCUUUGAUGUUUUGCGGUGUGUAGAAUCCUUCUUCAAUACCUUUGGGGCAUUCUGUAAAUCCAAUGAUUCAUCCUUUACUGUUGAAGUAAGUGCAUCAGAUGAUCAUUGUGACACUAUAUUGAAGACCGAUGUCAAACAGCUUGAUGGGGUUUCCACUUACCUGCACGUUGCUGAAGCAUCUAGGAGUGCGAGCUGUUCAAAUAGUCCAAUGAAUUUAUCUUUUCGUGUCAUGGUCUUCCAGCAGAUCCCAGGAACACUCCUGGUGAAAGCAUCAUUACAGCUGAGAGACAGUCCGCUUUCAGGAGCAUUUACGUCUGUAAUUGAACAAUUAGAAGUAUAUCUGAAGCACAAAUUUUGUGGCAAAAAGGCCCGUAUUUGAACCCUUAGAUUUUAAGGUGAUAUAGAAGAAUGAAGAUGAUAACCAUUUUGUCGGCAAUUAGGAGCAUUUACGUCUGUAAUUGAACAAUUAGAAGCAUAUCUGAAGCACAAAUUUUGUGGCAAAAGGCCCGUAUUUGAACCCUUAGAUUUUAAGGUGAUAUAGAAGAAUGAAGAUGAUAACCAUUUUGUCGCAAUUAG